AUCCAACUGACGAGUCCCAAACAGGACGAAAUCCGCAUCCUGGAU
rnacentral:hammerhead_ribozyme from 1 species